GGGCUAAUAGCUCAGUUGGUUAGAGCACACGCCUGAUAAGCGUGAGGUCGGUGGUUCGAGUCCACUUUAGCCCACCA
rnacentral:tRNA from 1 species